CGCAGCCGCGGUAAUUCCAGCUCCAAUAGCGUAUAUUAAAGUUGUUGCAGUUAAAAAGCUCGUAGUUGAAUUUCGGGGUCAGUAGAUUGGUCAUGCCUCCGGUAUGUACUGGUCUUACUGGCUCCUCCUUCCUGAUGAACCGUAAUGCCAUUAAUUUGGUGUUGCGGGGAGACUGGACUGUUACUUUGAAAAAUUAGAGUGUUUAAAGCAGGCUAACGCUUGAAUACAUUAGCAUGGAAUAAUGAAAUAGGACGUUCGAUCUUAUUUUGUUGGUUUCUAAGAUUGACGUAAUGAUUAAUAGGGAUAGUUGGGGGCAUUAGUAUUCAAUUGUCAGAGGUGAAAUUCUUGGAUUUAUUGAAGACUAACUACUGCGAAAGCAUUUGCCAAGGAUGUUUUCAUUAAUCAAGAACGAAAGUUAGGGGAUCGAAGACGAUCAGAUACCGUCGUAGUCUUAACCAUAAACUAUGCCGACUAGGAUCGGAUGAUUGUUAAUUUUUAAUGUACUCAUUCGGCGCCU
rnacentral:rRNA from 1 species